UUGGGACUUCACACAGAAAAGAUGCAUCCGAGCCUUGGCAUUGUCGCCCUGCCAAGUCACCCCCCAACAGCCAAGUCCUGCUCAGAGCCCCACGGGAAAAGAAUUGCACUCUAUCAAGUGGACUCUGGGCAGCGCCCCAGAGUGCCUGAGCUCCAGAGACCAGACUGCCGACCGCGGACCAGCCAGCUGGACUCCCCGAGUGAGUGCUCCCCACGUCUUCCCUCAGGACCCCCCGCACAACGGCAAGGGGCCGAGGGGAGCAUCCCUGUCUGGAUGGCAUCCCUGGAAAAGGCUGGAGUGUUUCUAAAGAGGCUGUUCAGACAUCACAUCACAGUCCCAGACGGCCGAGAGGUCCUUGCACUCACUUGGCUGCCCUCCCUGGGAAAUGCUUUGGAUCAGACUGCACUUCUGGGUUGUUUUUGCCUGAGGAAAGUGGGUACAAGACCCCCAUCUGAAAGGCAGUGAUUUCCCUAUUGAAAAGGGAAAUGGGAAAGAAAGGUGGCUUCUGUGAUUCUCCUUGUGCAAACCUCCCUGAAUACAAGAACUUGCUCCUCUGCAGCAGCAGGUAAACAGACACCUGAGCGGGGAAGGAAAACGAGCUGGCAGCCUGCAGGGAUGCCGAGACAAGCGGUGGGGUGGGGGAGGGCCACCUCUUGCGCCAGCUGAAAGUCUACUUUGGUUUGAACGCCAUCCCAAUUUUCACCUACCAACCCUUGGAGGGUGGAGCCAUUCCAGAGAAGGUGUGAUUUUCCGGAGGGGCGACCCCUAAAAUAAGCCAAGCACCACCUUGGGCCUGAACUUUGUGUGUGCAGAAAAUCCACGUGAUGCCCUUUCUGCAGCGCCUCUUGGGCCGAACUUGAGGGAAGCAAGUUUCCUUCCACCGGUCUCCCCCCGCAGUUCGGGUUGGUUUGCGCUGGAAUGCCACGCUUUUCAAAGUGCCCGAGCCGAUAGGCACUUUCUAAAUAUGUACAACGAUGACUGAUAAGAAACCGAGCGCCGGGCUUCGUGGGUUCGCCACCCCUGGCAGCCCAGGGCUGGGGUUGGGCCGGCGUUCCCCCUCUUUCUCGGCUGAAACCCCAACACCCCCUUCCAGAUCUGCUUUGGCAACGGUUCUGUUCAUGCCAGUGUGUGUAUGUGUGUGUGUGUGUGUUUGGGGGGGGGUCGCCCCAUUUUCGAAUUUCGACCUCUCCAUUCGACGACCAGCGCCCAUCCCCCGCGCCAUCGGUCCCCCGCAGCCACCCCCACGACCCAGGCCGGGGUGACCCAAAAGGCUGAGUCAACGUAGCGAAACAGGAGCGUCCCCCACGGGCCGGCGCCCCUAGCCCCCCUCAGUUCUUCGCCAGGCCCCACAAUGCGCCCUUGUGCCGCGCCUGCAGCCAGG